AGAUAUCGAUUGAAAAUGACUAAGCUACAAGUUUUCUGUUUUUUUGCUGUUACUAUUUGCAUUGUUAUAAACAAUGUAAAAUGCGCAACGAAAGACGAAUGCCGUGAUCAGAUAUGUAACACCAACCACAGACUAAGACAUUUAAAUGACGAUCAAAAAUACCAACUGGUCAACGGUGUCAUUCGUGCAUACUCAUAUG